GACGAACGCUGGCGGCGUGCUUAACACAUGCAAGUCGAACGGAAAGGCCCUGCUUUUGUGGGGUGCUCGAGUGGCGAACGGGUGAGUAACACGUGAGUAACCUGCCCUUGACUUUGGGAUAACUUCAGGAAACUGGGGCUAAUACCGGAUAGGAGCUCCUGCUGCAUGGUGGGGGUUGGAAAGUUUCGGCGGUUGGGGAUGGACUCGCGGCUUAUCAGCUUGUUGGUGGGGUAGUGGCUUACCAAGGCUUUGACGGGUAGCCGGCCUGAGAGGGUGACCGGCCACAUUGGGCCUGCGAUACGGCCCAGACUCCUACGGGAGGCAGCAGUGGGGAAUAUUGCACAAUGGGCGGAAGCCUGAUGCAGCAACGCCGCGUGCGGGAUGACGGCCUUCGGGUUGUAAACCGCUUUCGCCUGUGGCGAAGCGUGAGUGACGGUAAUGGGUAAAGAAGCACCGGCUAACUACGUG
rnacentral:rRNA from 1 species